UGCAGUGGACCCAGAGCUUUUGUCUCCUUCCUCCCUCACUUCUCAAUGUGUGUCCCUCUGGAAAAUGUGCGCUAGAUUGAAAAGGAUGAUCUUCCCUGAUAGAGAUGUCCCAUUCAUUGGUCAAGGGUGGUGCUCCAUUGCUGGAAUCUCUAAACAAGCUCAAGGUUCUUUUGUAGAAAAAUCUAAGAUAGAAGAGUGGUAAUGAACUGGAACAGGCUGCCCAGGGAGGGGGUGGAGUCAUCAGCC
rnacentral:snRNA from 1 species